CCUACGGGUGGCAGCAGUAGGGAAUUUUCGUCAAUGGGCGCAAGCCUGAACGAGCAAUGCCGCGUGAACGAGGAAGGUCUUCGGAUCGUAAAGUUCUGUUGAAGGGGAAAAAGAGCGGAGAAAGGAAAUGGUCUCCGAUUGAUAUUACCCUUCGAGGAAGUCACGGCUAACUACGUGCCAGCAGCCGCGGUAAUACGUAGGUGGCGAGCGUUAUCCGGAAUGAUUGGGCGUAAAGGGUGCGUAGGCGGCCUGCUAAGUCUGGAGUGAAAGGUACCGGCUCAACCGGUACAGGCUCUGGAAACUGGCGGGCUAGAGAGCAGGAGAGGGCGGUGGAACUCCAUGUGUAGCGGUAAAAUGCGUAGAUAUAUGGAAGAACACCAGUGGCGAAGGCGGCCGCCUGGCCUGUUACUGACGCUGAGGCACGAAGGCCAGGGGAGCGAAAGGGAUUAGAUACCCGUGUAGUC
rnacentral:rRNA from 1 species